UGAGAGGGGGCGGCGGGGGGAGGCGUUGGCGCUGCAGAUGGCACAGAGGGCAUCGCCAAUGGCUCCCCGCGACCGCACAAAGGCGCGUUAUCGGGAGAUAUAAUUGGUACGCGAGGUGAGGGAGUGACGGGAGAUGUGGAGAGCUGGAUAUUCCAAACGAGUUCCGGAAAAGCUGCCGAGGCCCAAGCUAGCACGUCAGCUCAGGAGAAACAGGAGGCCCCCGCGUGCUUUUGUGGCAGCCUCGAGCAAACAGAGCCCCCGACAAUGCGGUCGGCUUUCCGGAUUUCAAUGCUGCGACGCUCCCGCCUGCUGCCGCCCGAAUGAAGUGAAUGUGACCCCGCGCCAGACUGGCAAAGGACCUCAAUUACUGGUAGGUUGCCACAGUCAAAGGUGUCUCCAUUUCACGCUAAGCAAACGGGCAUUGUUCAGGUAGCAAACCGCCGCGCUCAUAUGGGAGGCCGUCCGUUAUGAAACAUAACAACGAUUCAAAAAAGGAGGAUAUCGGCGCGGGGACUCCCCCACAAAAGCAGGCGGUUGAGACUGACCCCUGCUGUACGCUGCACAACGGACAAUGAUGUAUCCCUUACAAUGGCUCUUUAUGCAGGGAGAUACAAAAGCAAUGA